rnacentral:rRNA from 1 species
AGAGUUUGAUCCUGGCUCAGGAUGAACGCUGGCGGCGUGCUUAACACAUGCAAGUCGAACGAUCCUUCGGGAUAGUGGCGGACGGGUGAGUAACGCGUGGGAAUCUGCCCUCAGGAGGGGGAUAACGGCUGGAAACGGCCGCUAAUACCCCAUAUGCCGAGAGGUGAAAUGAAUUUCGCCUGAGGAUGAGCCCGCGUCUGAUUAGCUAGUUGGUGGGGUAAUGGCCUACCAAGGCAACGAUCAGUAGCUGGUCUGAGAGGAUGAUCAGCCACACUGGGACUGAGACACGGCCCAGACUCCUACGGGAGGCAGCAGUGGGGAAUUUUCCGCAAUGGGCGAAAGCCUGACGGAGCAACGCCGCGUGAGGGAUGAAGGCCUCUGGGCUGUAAACCUCUUUUCUCAAGGAAGAAGACCUGACGGUACUUGAGGAAUAAGCCACGGCUAAUUCCGUGCCAGCAGCCGCGGUAAUACGGGAGUGGCAAGCGUUAUCCGGAAUUAUUGGGCGUAAAGCGUCCGCAGGCUGCCUUGUAAGUCUGUUGUUAAAGCGUGGAGCUCAACUCCAUUUAAGCAAUGGAAACUACAAGGCUGGAGUGUGGUAGGGGCAGAGGGAAUUCCCGGUGUAGCGGUGAAAUGCGUAGAUAUCGGGAAGAACACCAGUGGCGAAGGCGCUCUGCUGGGCCAUAACUGACGCUCAUGGACGAAAGCCAGGGGAGCGAAAGGGAUUAGAUACCCCUGUAGUCCUGGCCGUAAACGAUGAACACUAGGUGUCGGGGGAAUCGACCCCCUCGGUGUCGUAGCCAACGCGUUAAGUGUUCCGCCUGGGGAGUACGCACGCAAGUGUGAAACUCAAAGGAAUAGACGGGGGCCCGCACAAGCGGUGGAGUAUGUGGUUUAAUUCGAUGCAACGCGAAGAACCUUACCAGGGUUUGACAUCCUGCGAACCCCUGAGAAAUCGGGGGGUGCCUUCGGGAGCGCAGAGACAGGUGGUGCAUGGCUGUCGUCAGCUCGUGUCGUGAGAUGUUGGGUUAAGUCCCGCAACGAGCGCAACCCACGUCUUUAGUUGCCAGCAUUCAGUUGGGCACUCUAUAGAGACCGCCGGUGAUAAACCGGAGGAAGGUGUGGAUGACGUCAAGUCAUCAUGCCCCUUACAUCCUGGGCUACACACGUACUACAAUGCUACGGACAAAGGGCAGCAAGCUCGCGAGAGUUAGCAAAUCCCAUAAACCGUGGCUCAGUUCAGAUCGUAGGCUGCAACUCGCCUACGUGAAGGAGGAAUCGCUAGUAAUCGCAGGUCAGCAUACUGCGGUGAAUACGUUCCCGGGCCUUGUACACACCGCCCGUCACACCAUGGAAGUUGGCCAUGCCCGAAGUCGUUACUCCAACCCUUGUGGAGGAGGACGCCGAAGGUGGGGCUGAUGACUGGGGUGAAGUCGGAACAAGGUA